AUUGAACGCUGGCGGCAGGCCUAACACAUGCAAGUCGAGCGGAUGAAGGGAGCUUGCUCCUGGAUUCAGCGGCGGACGGGUGAGUAAUGCCUAGGAAUCUGCCUGGUAGUGGGGGAUAACGUCCGGAAACGGGCGCUAAUACCGCAUACGUCCUGAGGGAGAAAGUGGGGGAUCUUCGGACCUCACGCUCUCAGAUGAGCCUAGGUCGGAUUAGCUAGUUGGUGGGGUAAAGGCCUACCAAGGCGACGAUCCGUAACUGGUCUGAGAGGAUGAUCAGUCACACUGGAACUGAGACACGGUCCAGACUACUACGGGAGGCAGCAGUGGGGAAUAUUGGACAAUGGGCGAAAGCAUGAUCCAGCCAUGCCGCGUGUGUGAAGAAGGUCUUCGGAUUGUAAAGCACUUUAAGUUGGGAGGAAGGGCAGUAAGUUAAUACCUUGCUGUUUUGACGUUACCAACAGAAUAAGCACCGGCUAACUUCGUG
rnacentral:rRNA from 1 species